rnacentral:rRNA from 1 species
AGUGAACGCUGGCGGUAGGCCUAACACAUGCAAGUCGAACGGCAGCACAGUAAGAGCUUGCUCUUACGGGUGGCGAGUGGCGGACGGGUGAGGAAUACAUCGGAAUCUACUUUUUCGUGGGGGAUAACGUAGGGAAACUUACGCUAAUACCGCAUACGACCUACGGGUGAAAGCAGGGGAUCUUCGGACCUUGCGCGAUUGAAUGAGCCGAUGUCGGAUUAGCUAGUUGGCGGGGUAAAGGCCCACCAAGGCGACGAUCCGUAGCUGGUCUGAGAGGAUGGUCAGCCACACUGGAAAUGAGACACGGUCCAGACUCCUACGGGAGGCAGCAGUGGGGAAUAGUGGACAAUGGGGGCAAGCCUGAUCCAGCCAUACCGCGUGGGUGAAGAAGGCCUGCGGGUUGUAAAGCCCUUUUGUGGGGAAAGAAAAGCAGCAGGUUAAUACCCCGCUGUUCUGACGGUACCCAAAGAAUAAGCACCGGCUAACUUCGU